rnacentral:misc_RNA from 1 species
GAAAUGCGAUAAGUAAUGUGAAUUGCAGAAUUCCGUGAAUCAUCGAAUCUUUGAACGCACAUUGCGCCCUCUGGUAUUCCGGAGGGCAUGCCUGUUUGAGUGUCAUUAAAUUCUCAACUUCAGAAGUUUUUAUUAACUAUCUGUAGCUUGGAUGUGGGGGCUUGCUGGUAUCUCAGAUACUCAGCUCCUCUUAAAUGCAUUAGUGGAACCGUAUGUUGGACCAUCCUUGGUGUGAUAAUUAUCUACGCUUUGGUUAAUCUAACGACUUCUAUGCUCAGAUUUAUUUCUGGUUAGGAUAGUUGCAUUCAUUUGCUCUGUCUAUGUAGAAGGGGGAGUCUGCUUUCAAACUGUCUGUGUAUAUGGACAAUUUAUUGACUAUUUGACCUCAAAUCAGGUAGGACUACCCGCUGAACUUAA